rnacentral:misc_RNA from 1 species
GAUGAAGAACGCAGCGAAAUGCGAUACGUAAUGUGAAUUGCAGAAUUCAGUGAAUCAUCGAGUCUUUGAACGCACAUUGCGCCCGCCAGUAUUCUGGCGGGCAUGCCUGUUCGAGCGUCAUUUCAACCCUCAGGCCCCCAGUGCCUGGCGUUGGGGAUCGGCGCGGCGCCCUCCGGGGCGCUGCCGGCCCCGAAAUUCAGUGGCGGUCUCGCUGUAGCCCUCCUCCGCGUAGUAGCACAACCUCGCGGCCUGGAGCUCGGCGGUGGCCAUGCCGUAAAACACCCCACUUCUGAAAGUUGACCUCGGAUCAGGUAGGAAUACCCGCUGAACUUAAGCAUAUCAAUAAGCGGAGGA